GUCUAUGGCCAUACCCCCCUGAAGGCGCCUGAUCUUCUCUGGUCUGUGAAACUAAGCAGGGUGGGGCCUGGUUAGUACUUGGAAGGGAGACUGACUGGGAAUACCGGGUGCUGUAGGCU
ensembl:rRNA 5S_rRNA 5S ribosomal RNA